CCUACGGGUGGCAGCAGUGGGGAAUAUUGGACAAUGGGCGAAAGCCUGAUCCAGCCAUGCCGCGUGUGUGAAGAAGGCCUUCGGGUUGUAAAGCACUUUCAGUGGGGAAGAAAGCCUUGGGGCUAAUACCCUCGAGGAAGGACAUCACCCACAGAAGAAGCACCGGCUAACUCCGUGCCAGCAGCCGCGGUAAUACGGAGGGUGCGAGCGUUAAUCGGAAUUACUGGGCGUAAAGCGCGCGUAGGCGGUCUGAUAAGCCGGUUGUGAAAGCCCCGGGCUCAACCUGGGAACGGCAUCCGGAACUGUCAGGCUAGAGUUCAGGAGAGGAAGGUAGAAUUCCCGGUGUAGAGGUGAAAUGCGUAGAGAUCGGGAGGAAUACCAGUGGCGAAGGCGGCCUUCUGGACUGACACUGACGCUGGGGUGCGAAAGCGUGGGUAGCAAACAGGAUUAGAUACCCGGUAGUC
rnacentral:rRNA from 1 species